GUGUGUGUGUGUGUGAGAGAGAGAGAGAGAGAGAGAGAGAGAGAGAGAGAGAGAGAGAGAGAGACAUCAGUCGGUUGCCUCCCCCACACACCCUGAGGGGGGCUGGUCAUUGAACUCAGAAUCUAGGUAUGUGCCCUGACCCGGAAUUGAACCCACAACCUUUUGGUGGCUGGGACAACACUCCUACCGACUGAGCCACACUGGCCAGGGCAAUGCGUUUCUUACUAUGAACUAUAAUCCCACACUUUGGAAGAACACUGAUCCAGUGUUUUCAGUGGCUCAGGAUGUGAGUUUACAGUUGAAAAGCCAGGGGCGGUCCAGGGCAGCUCGCGGAGGUGUGGGGUGGGGCUGGGCACUUAGCCACAGAGCCCUGGCCUUUUCCUCUCUGUGUCCUGGAACAAGUGACACGACCUCCUGGGCCUCAGUUUCCCUGUCUGUAAAAGGGGGCUGACACCACCUGCUCACAGAGAGGGUGCUGUGAGGGUUCCCAGGAGCCCAGGAACCCGAAGACGCCAGCCCUGAAGUCGGCGGCUGUUCCGUCAUUUCAUUCAGGUCUGUCUGCUCUUCCUCCUCUACCUCCGGGGAAAGGAAAGCACGUGCCCUCACCCCUGGGACCCCUGCUGGGGAUGGUCAGGACUCGGGGUACACAGAAAGGUAUUCCAGAGCUAAAUUCCAAGGUGAGACAGACUGUCCGGCGGAUUUCACGCAGAUAAAAUCAAGUUCUGGUGAACUCCCAGAGCAGCUUCCAAAGGGCAGUCAUGUCCCCAGGAGAGGAGCAGCCGCCUACCCUUGCUCCAGGAAGCAGAGGGGUCUGGGCUGCUGCCCCCCUCCCAUCUGGCUGGGUGGACAGGACACGGCCUGCAAGCCCGGAGUCAUUGCUAGAAGCCAUCCUGGGCCCCGGGAGGGCAAGCAGGGACGGCUUCCCUCAGGUGGUUCCUGAACCUGUGUCCUUGGCCACCCCCUCCCUCAGCCCGGCCCCUGUUCUCUGGGCCUCUUCUGCCUCUAAACCCUGCAGGGGACUUGGACGUGAGUGGAAUAUCUGGAAUUCCUAGAGGAUUUAUAACCCAGCAACUGGAACAGGUGUGGGUAGCUGACCCACACCCGCACCCCUCUGCCUCCAGUCUCUGCCUCUGCCUCCAGCUCUGCCCUUCAUCUUUCCUCUUGGGCCCCAGCGUCACGUCACAUGUUGGAAACAACUUAAACGCUCAUCUCUGGAGUCUAGUUUGAUACAUUAUGCUACGCCUCCCUUGAGGGGAAUCCUCUGAGGUGCAAAAAUCCACCGAGGAGGCGCUUCUUGAAUAUACAUAGGAAGACCUCUAAGACAUAGUGUUGAAUUAAAAAGGAAGAUCAGACAGCCGAACGACCUUCCGGACGUCCUUCCGGAUGACCUUCUGGAGGAAGCCGGGGCUGUGAGGGCCCAGGCAAGCCACAGCGGCUGCGAGGGCCGCACUCCUUGCACGAAUUUCAUGCAUCGGGCCUCUAAUAUAAAUAUACAUGUAUUUGUUUAGCUCUGCAUAGAAGGGCCUUCGGGGAGGGUUCACAGGAAGUGGGUAGUGGUGAGCCGUGGGAGAAAAAUGAGCAAGUGGGGAACGAGGUGGGAAGAAAUCUUUCCAUCGAAUAUCCGAAUCUUUUAAAAUAUUAUGCCAUGUAAAUGUGUUACCUGUUAAAAAUUAAAACAAAAAAUAAACUAAUUAUAAAGACUAUGAGGCAACAUUGGAAAAUGAUUAUAAGACAGGUGGGAAAAAUUUAAAAACUACAUUCAGUAGGAUUAUAACUAUGUAAUAAAUGCAUGUAAAGUUUCUAUUUGUGGGAGGAACAUUUUAGGUAAUUUUUAUUUCCCUCUUUUCUUGUAUUUUCCCAGAAAUUUCAAUAAUACAUAUUGUUAUUAUUAGAAAAAAAUAGCAACACCAGGAAAUACAUAUGUACUAAGAUAAUUGUAUAUUCAGUAUAAUCUCAUGUAUUAAAACAAAGCAUUGAAAAAGAAUGGGAGAAAAUAGGCAGAAUGUUCACAGUGGUUGUCUCUAGAUGUGAGAGAUGAGGUGAUUUUUAAAAUAUUAAAUAUUUUGUAUUAUUUUCAUGAGAGAAAG